rnacentral:rRNA from 1 species
UGGGGAAUAUUGCACAAUGGGCGAAAGCCUGAUGCAGCCAUGCCGCGUGUAUGAAGAAGGCCUUCGGUUUGUAAAGUACUUUCAGUCGGGAGGAAGGUGGUAAGGUUAAUAACCUUAUCAAUUGACGUUACCGACAGAAGAAGCACCGGCUAACUCCGUGCCAGCAGCCGCGGUAAUACGGCGGGUGCAAGCGUUAAUCGGAAUUACUGGGCGUAAAGCGCACGCAGGCGGUUGAUUGAGUCAGAAGUGAAAUCCCCGGGCUUAACCCGGGAAUUGCAUCUGAUACUGUUCAGCUAGAGUCUUGUAGAGGGGGGUAGAAUUCCAUGUGUAGCGGUGAAAUGCGUAGAGAUGUGGAGGAAUACCGGUGGCGAAGGCGGCCCCCUGGACAAAGACUGACGCUCAGGUGCGAAAGCGUGGGGAGCAAACAGG